rnacentral:rRNA from 1 species
AGAGUUUGAUCAUGGCUCAGAACGAACGCUGGCGGCGUGCUUAAUACAUGCAAGUCGCGCGUGAAAGAGGAGCAAUCCUCGAGUAAAGCGGCAAACGGGUGAGUAACACGUAAGUAAUCUACCUCCAAAUCUGGGAUAACCCUGCCAACGCGGGGCUAAUACCGGAUGUGGUCCCACGAUUCAUGAUUGUGGGAUUAAAGAUGACCUCUAUUUAUAAGUUAUCGCUUGGAGAUGAGCUUGCGGCCCAUUAGCUAGUUGGCGGGGUAAUAGCCCACCAAGGCUGUGAUGGGUAGCCGGCCUGAGAGGGUGUACGGCCACAUUGGGACUGAGAUACGGCCCAGACUCCUUCGGGAGGCAGCAGUAGGGAAUUUUGCGCAAUGGACGAAAGUCUGACGCAGCAACGCCGCGUGAGUGAUGAAGGUCUUCGGAUUGUAAAGCUCUGUUGAAUGGGAAGAAAAGUUACAGGUCUAAUAUAUCUGUAGCCUGACGGUACCGUUCGAGGAAGCCCCGGCUAACUACGUGCCAGCAGCCGCGGUAAUACGUAGGGGGCGAGCGUUGUUCGGAAUUACUGGGCGUAAAGGGAGCGUAGGCGGGUCAGUAAGUUAGAAGUUUAAUGCGCAGGCUUAACCUGUGACUUGCUUUUAAUACUGCUGAUCUUGAGUAUGGAAGAGGGAGAUGGAAUUCCAGGUGUAGCGGUGGAAUGCGUAGAUAUCUGGAAGAACACCAUUAGCGAAGGCGGUCUCCUGGUCCAAUACUGACGCUGAGGCUCGAAAGCUAGGGGAGCAAACAGGAUUAGAUACCCUAGUAGUCC